UACAGGGGGUGCAAGCGUUAUUCGGAAUUAUUGGGCGUAAAGGGCGCGUAGGCGGUUCGUUAAGUCUGGUGUGAAAUCCCUGGGUUCAACUCAGGAAGUGCAUUGGAUACUGGCGGACUAGAGUAUAGGAGAGGAGAGCGGAAUUCCUGGUGUAGAGGUGAAAUUCGUAGAUAUCAGGAGGAACAUCAGUGGCGAAGGCGGCUCUCUGGACUAUUACUGACGCUGAGGCGCGAAAGCGUGGGGAGCAAACAGG
rnacentral:rRNA from 1 species